CAGCCCUAAACGAUGCGCGUUAGGUGUAUCGGUGACCACGAGUCACCGAGGUGCCGAAGGGAAACCGUGAAACGUGCCGCCUGGGAAGUACGGUCGCAAGGCUGAAACUUAAAGGAAUUGGCGGGGGAGCACCACAACAGGUGGAGCCUGCGGUUUAAUUGGACUCAACGCCGGGAAGCUCACCGGAUAAGACAGCGGAAUGAUUGCCGGGCUGAAGACCCUGCAUGACCAGCUGAGAGGAGGUGCAUGGCGUAGUCGUGU
rnacentral:rRNA from 1 species